GCUUAACCAACUGAGCCACCCAGGUGCCCCACAAAACAAUUCUCAAUAAUGUUUAUAAGUACAUAUACGUAAGGUAAAAGCAAAAGACAGAAUGCACAUCUUUGAGGCCUGGAAAAACAAGAUGAGUUGGAAGAGCUUAGAGAAGAAGCAGAGUUCUAGUGAUGAGAGAAGUUUCUAGUAAAGAGGGUGGUGGGACAACGCAGACCAUGAAAUACCUUGCUAGCUGACACAGAGUUGGAAAGAGUUGUAGACUUAUAAACAUUGUAAUUCCUGGAAGGAGAAACCUAUCAGUGGGAAUAAUAAUGUUUGAUUAUACCUUUAUGACCCAUUUAUAUGAAUAGAUUAUAAGAGAUGAAAAGGAACUCAAAGCUCAUCUUGAAGUUCAACUCCUUCAUUUUAGCAACAGAGAAAAUAGGCUUAGAAAAGUCAAAGUGUAAAGAUAAGGGAAGAUAGUUUGUGCUAGAAUACUGGGCUACAAUGAAUCUAGUCAUUCAAUAUAUAUGUUACUGGCUGACUUCUUAAUUGGUGGGUCGCCUAAUUGUACCAUAGCCAUAGUAGGUUUGGAAAAGACUGGAGCAGAGAAUAGAUACAUUUUGAUUAGGUAUGGAUUUGUUUUGAUGAAUGGGCCAUAACAAGGUAGAGUUUUGAACAUCAAAUAGGUAUCGCCAAGUGGGCAGUUGCCUGUGAUAUGGGGUGUUUUAGAAUGGGGAGACAUAGGACAUUAUAGGGGUCAUUGGAGUUAAACUACCUCACAGUUUUGCCUGGAUAAGUCCUAUUUGCUAGCUGAUCGAUAUCACAUUGGAACCAUUUGGACCCUUAUGGCUCCAAUAAAGAUUAUCUCAUUAGGUAGCCCAAGGCCAAGAGAUAACUAUAAGGUCCCUCUGUGAUGACCUUACAGAAGUUGACCUAAGGGGUCACCACCAUUGAUGGGUUAUUUUUGACUUUUCUAAGGGUUUUCUUCUGGUAUGGCAGGUUGUGAGAUCAGAGAAACACCAGUGAUGUCCACCUUUGUCUUGGUGACAUCUACCUCAGGCUCACUGCCGGUUCCAGUCCAGAUAAAGGUGAGAGAGAGGUACUGAAUUGUCAACCGUGGUUGAUGAUGGAGUGCCUUCCAUCAAGGACCUCAAUGCACCUUACAAAUGUCAUGAGUCAUCAAAGCCCUUCUUUAAUGGAGAGAUCUCGACAAACACUGGAGACUCAUCAACCGGAGUGAAUUCCCUCAGUGAAAUCGCUAUCCUCUGCCAAGAAUCAAAGGUCAUCCCAGUGGAGUGCCGUCUUCGUGUUCAGCCGCUACGGAGUGUCUGGAACAGAGUGAGAACAAAAAUUAUCCCAGUUUGGUGCCCCCUGACUCUUUCGGGAAGAAUCCCAACAAGACUGCCACCGGGAGUUCAGAGAACACAUUUGAAGACUGGGGAAGGGCCAGGCUAAACAAGGGAGAAUAGUGAUGUAAAGACAAUAAGAUAAAGGAAAUAAAUGACUCAAAGACAA